UCUUCCCCCGGCAGCAUUUUGGGAAAAGUAGGAAACUUUAAUUUUGGUUACUUAACUCAGUUGAGGCGAGAAGUAAAUUUUGUCAAAGACAAUGUCUGUGUUUAAGUAGCAUUGUGAAUUCAAGUUUCUGCUUUUGGAGGAAGGCUGGCCUACCCUUGAAAUCUUUAAAUUUUUUAAUUUUUUUAAACGGCUUAUAGUUCUCGCGUUUACUUGACUUUAUUGAACUUAUCGAGUCUUUGAAAGAUUUUGCAUUCCUGAAACUAUUUAAUAAGGUGUAAGAGAACGAAU